UAAAGCGAAAGAAGGGCAUUCGGUGGAUGCCUUGGCUCUGAGAGGCGACGAAGGACGUGAUAAGCUGCGAAAAGCUGCGGGGAUCGGCAAAUACGACUUGAUCCGCAGAUAUCCGAAUGGGGCAACCCGGCAAGCUUGCUUGCCACCAUCCAUAAGAUGGAGCGAACGUGGGGAACUGAAACAUCUUAGUACCCAUAGGAAGAGAGAACAAUUUAGUGAUUCCCCUAGUAGAGGCGAUCGAACGGGGACGAGCCCAAACCGGCAGUGUCGCAAGGCAUCGCCGGGGUUGUAGGGCUCUCGAUAUCGCAAGAGUGACGCGAGGAGAAGUGACGUGGAAACGUCCACCAUAGACGGUGAUAGUCCGGUAACCGAAGCGAAGUGAAGCGUAGAGAGUACCUGAGUAGUGCGGGACACGUGCAAUCCUGUAUGAAUCCGGGAGGUCCAUCUCCCAAGGCUAAAUACUUCUCAGAGACCGAUAGUGAACAAGUACCGUGAGGGAAAGGUGAAAAGAACCGCUCAUAGCGGAUUGAAAUAGUACCUGAAACCGGAUGCCUACAAGCGGUCGGAGCCCCUUUGGGGUGACGGCGUGCCUUUUGCAUAAUGAACCUACGAGUUACCAUGCACAGCAAGGCUAAGCGACCCAGUCGUGGAGCCGUAGCGAAAGCGAGUUUUAAAUGGCGUAUAGUUGUGUAGGGUAGACGCGAAACCAAGUGAUCUAUCCGUGUCCAGACUGAAGUGAGGGUAAAACCUCAUGGAGGGUCCAACGGAGAAAUGGUGAAAAAUUUCCCGAUGAGGUACGGAUAGGAGUGAAAGGCCAAUCAAACUUGGAGAUAGCUCGUACUCCCCGAAAUGCAUUUAGGUGCAGCCUUUAUGGUUAAGUACACGAGGUAGAGCGACUGAUUGGAUGCGAGAGCUUCACCGCUUAUCAAAUCCGGACAAACUCCGAAUGCGUGUAUGUAGUCAUGAAGAGUGAGGGUGCGGGAGCUAAGUUCCGUAUCCGAGAGGCAAAGAAGCCGGACCAUCAGCUAAGGCCCCCAAAUGAUGUCUAAGUUGAAUGAACGAAGUCGCAAUGCAGAGACAGCUAGGAUGUUGGCUUGGAAGCAGCCAUUCAUUUAAAGAGUGCGUAACAGCUCACUAGUCGAGGAUUGUGGCGUGGAUAAUAAUCGGGCAUAAGACAUCUGCCGAAGCUAUGGGAUCGAAAGAUCGGUAGGGGAGCAUUCCAGCGAGGUCGAAGGUGUGAGGUGACUCAUGCUGGACUCUCUGGAAGAGCAAAUGUAGGUAUAAGUAACGAUAAAGGAAGUGAGAAUCUUCCUCGCCGAAAGACUAAGGUUUCCUCUUCAACGUUCGUCGGAAGAGGGUUAGUCGAGACCUAAGGAGUAGCCGUAGUUGGCGUAUCCGAACGGAAGAAUGGGUUAAUAUUCCCAUACUGAUUACACGUAGUGGAUGCAAGGACGAAGGAGUGAAAGCCUCACCUGCUGACGGAAUAGCAGGUUAAAGGGGGUAGGCGCUGAUGGGGUAGUAAAGUACGUCCCAGAGCCGAACCUGAUAGUACCGGGAAUCUACGGAGGAACGGAUAGAGGUGUAAGCAGACUUCCAAGAAAAGUUGCUACAUGAUUGAUGUGUAACCACUCGUACCACAAACCGACACAGGUAGUUGGGUUGAGUAUACUAAGGCGCGCGAGAUAGGCGUGGUUAAGGAACUAGGCAAAAUGGAUCUGUAACUUCGGGAAAAAGAUCGCCCUCCUCCGGGAGGGUUGCAGAGAAUAGGCUCAAGCGACUGUUUACCAAAAACAUAGGGCUGUGCGAAAUAGAAAUAUGCAGUAUACAGCCUGACACCUGCCCGGUGCCGGAAGGUUAAGAGGAGAGGUCAUCCGUAAGGAGAAGCCUUGAAUUGAAGCCCCGGUAAACGGCGGCCGUAACUAUAACGGUCCUAAGGUAGCGAAAUUCCUUGUCGGGUAAGUUCCGACCUGCACGAAUGGUGUAA
rnacentral:rRNA from 1 species